UGCCAGACGAAUCACUUGCCUGAGAUUUC
rnacentral:piRNA from 1 species